UACAAGGACGAUAACUAUACACCUAAGUAAGUGAUGACGCUAUAGUAUAUACAAGGACGAUAACUAUACACCUAGGUAAUACCGGCACUAGAUAAACAAAAUAUGUCUACAGAAGAAGCAGGCAAUCCGUACCCCCGUUAUAACAACAAUGAGGUCUAAUAACAACAUAUAAUAGUGUUUGCAUUGAAACAACAUCAGCAACAACAACAACAACAUCAGCAGCGAUACCACACGAUGGAAUGAAUAUAAAAUCACAAGAAUAUACUUGUCUGGAGUGUUGUACUGGAUUAGGUUAUAUCAUCACGAUAUAUCAUAAGUUGAAGCUAUAUAUUUACUUGUCUGUUUACUAAAAUAAUGUAUUCACUGAAUCAGAUAUUAUUUGAAGUCACUGAAAUUUGAGAUACUUACGAGUCUUGUACAAAAUGUUAGAAAUAAAUGACUUUGAAAUAGACUCAUCAAGGCGCGAAGUUGUUCACAAAUUAAAAAACUAUAGAGACAAUUAUAACAGGUUGUUAAUCUGUUAUUUCAGAUGAAAAUUUGUCUAUUUAAAAGUUAUCGCAUUUCUGUAUUAUAUAAUAUAUCAUGAUUUUAAUAAUA